AGUGAACGCUGGCGGUAGGUCUAACACAUGCAAGUCGAACGGCAGCACAGUAAGAGCUUGCUCUUACGGGUGGCGAGUGGCGGACGGGUGAGGAAUACAUCGGAAUCUACUUUUUCGUGGGGGAUAACGUAGGGAAACUUACGCUAAUACCGCAUACGCCCUACGGUUGAAAGCAGGGGAUCUUCGGACCUUGCGCGAUUGAAUGAGCCGAUGUCGGAUUAGCUAGUUGGCGGGGUAAAGGCCCACCAAGGCGACGAUCCGCAGCUGGUCUGAGAGGAUGAUCAGCCACACUGGAACUGAGACACGGUCCAGACUCCUACGGGAGGCAGCAGUGGGGAAUAUUGGACAAUGGGCGCAAGCCUGAUCCAGCCAUACCGCGUGGGUGAAGAAGGCCUUCGGGUUGUAAAGCCCUUUUGUUGGGAAAGAAAAGCAGCAGGUUAAUACCCCGCUGUUCUGACGGUACCCAAAGAAUAAGCACCGGCUAACUUCGUG
rnacentral:rRNA from 1 species